AUUGAACGCUGGCGGCAUGCCUUACACAUGCAAGUCGAACGGCAGCACGGGUGCUUGCACCUGGUGGCGAGUGGCGAACGGGUGAGUAAUACAUCGGAACGUACCUUAUCGUGGGGGAUAACGCAGCGAAAGCUGUGCUAAUACCGCAUACGCCCUGAGGGGGAAAGCGGGGGAUCGAAAGACCUCGCGCGAUUAGAGCGGCCGAUGCCUGAUUAGCUUGUUGGUGGGGUAAAAGCCCACCAAGGCGACGAUCAGUAGCUGGUCUGAGAGGACGAUCAGCCACACUGGGACUGAGACACGGCCCAGACUCCUACGGGAGGCAGCAGUGGGGAAUUUUGGACAAUGGGGGCAACCCUGAUCCAGCAAUGCCGCGUGUGUGAAGAAGGCCUUCGGGUUGUAAAGCUCUUUUGUCAGGGAAGAAACACCGGCUCUAACACAGUCCGGGAAUGACGGUACCUGAAGAAUAAGCACCGGCUAACUACGUGCCAGCCGCCGCAGUAAUAC
rnacentral:rRNA from 1 species